rnacentral:rRNA from 1 species
AUUGAACGCUGGCGGCAUGCCUAACACAUGCAAGUCGAACGGUAGCAGGCCUUCGGGCGCUGACGAGUGGCGGACGGGUGAGUAAUACAUAGGAAUCUGCCUUUUAGUGGGGGAUAACCCGGAGAAAUCCGGGCUAAUACCGCAUACGCACUACGGUGGAAAGCAGGGGAUCGCAAGACCUUGCGCUAAUAGAUGAGCCUAUGUCGGAUUAGCUUGUUGGAGGUAAUGGCCUACCAAGGCGACGAUCCGUAGCUGGUCUGAGAGGACGACCAGCCACACUGGGACUGAGACACGGCCCAGACUCCUACGGGAGGCAGCAGUGGGGAAUAUUGGACAAUGGGGGCAACCCUGAUCCAGCAAUGCCGCGUGUGUGAAGAAGGCCUGGUUGUAAG